UCCGGUCAAAAGCAUGCCCAAAUUGACAUUAUGCAAUUUUUGCACAUUGAAAACAGAAGGGCUGGCCUUAAAGGAAACCUCCGGUACAUAACAAGGCACUGGCCCAGUUGCAAAAUCCAAUGCUAAAUCCCACACAAAAACUUAGAAUUAUACACAAUCUAUUAAAUGCUUAUCAGCUAAAACUAUUUGGAACACAUGAUUGAACUAACAUUGUCUUUUCUGAGCAAUUAAAACUGCAUUUUUUUCUAAUCUUGCUCGCACCUUAGGCCCAAGUCAGCAUUAGACGCACAAGCCACAUCACAAGGAAAAUAAACAUUAGGCCCAAAAGAGCCCAAAUCAGAUUUUAAGGUCAAACUGGUUGAGGUUUAGGACUCAAGAUCGAGUCUCCUCAGAAGCAGACAACAUAUGUCUAACCUUUCCUUCAUGGCAGUAAACCAAGUUUCAAAUUACAAGGUUUUAAAAUCUCAUUUCAAGAUAUCAAACAUUACACUGAAUGAUGCCAAAAAUUAAAUAGAACUAGUAGGCAAAUCAGCUAUCCUCGACAUGAGCUUAUAAUCACAUUUCACAUAACAACCACUUCUGAACAACACCUCACAAUGCUUUUAAGUAACAUACUACACAUCAUUUACUUAGCCAUUAACCUAUAUUUUCCAUGAUACCUAGUUCUACAUUAGAUCACUAUCAAGCAAUAUAAAACUGAGGUGUUUAUCCAACACUAAAGAAAACUGAACAACAUGCUUUUGACCAAGUCUUCAUCCAUAUCGUGUCAUAGUGCCAGAUUAAAUGCAAGAAAGCAAAUUGCAUCAGCCUAAGCCAGAAAUUAAUUAGGAAGAUCAUGAACUAAAGCUAUAAAACACUAUACAACAAAGUGAUAAAGAUGAAUUCAUAAUAGAAGCUGAAAACAUGUUUUGAACUUUAAAAUUUCAUUUUUUAUUCAACUCAAGCUUCACAUGAGGUAGAAUGCAGAAGUGUACCUGAAUAACAACAAAAUGAAUCAUAAAUCUAGUCUAAAACUAGGAGGAAGGCAACAGUACCAGAAAUCAUCAAUGCAACAGUAACACCAACCAAAACCCACACUCCAAAAUUCAAAACCAAACUCUUAAUCCAGCAACGGAACAGUAGAACCACAAUAAAAUUCAAACCAAACUCUAUAAUACAAUAGCUCAAACCAUUUUUAACCCAGAAUGCAAACCAUGAACUUUCAGUGAAUUGAACCAAAUUAUUAGGACCAGAUGAACAAGAAUCCAAUUAGAAGUUUUUGUAGUUUUUCAGAAAAAUUCUAGGAAUUCAAGAUUGUUUCAAAAAAAAUUUAAAGAAGAAGCAGCGUUUCAGUUUUUUAUGAUUUCUAUCUCUUAAAACCUGCCUUGCUAAAGAAGAAAUGCUUCCUUUAUAGGCAAGCUUUUAGCACAGCCCAAGGACAUCAGAUUUUGCAUAUUAAACCUUUUUGAAUUUUUAAUUUUGCUCAAGUACCCUUAGUCCAAAAUCAAUAUUUUCAGAAUCAGCCCAAAACUACCUUCCAGGAAACUUCCCCAGUCGGUUAUACAAGAUUCCCUUACCCAAAUUCCCUAAACUACCCCUUAAACCCCCUGUUUUUACCCCAACCUACCACAUAGGUCAAUUAUGACCCAAGACUCAAACCACAAUGAGCUGGCUUCUCGUAAAAAUGGGUCAAAAAUGAACCCAAGGCCCAAAACAGCUGAAAUCCAUUUAGUAAUUCAUGAGAAGCAAAAGAAGAAACCAAUUAAAUGAUUUCAAAACUAUAGUUAUCUACAUAACUGCUUAGUUACACAAAUAAGCAUAGAAUGAACGAGGUUAUUAAAUCAAAACGGCCUAAUUAAAAUUGACUAUAAAACUAAAACAAGAAAGACAAAAAUCAGAAUUUUAACAUUUCAUGAAUAAAAGCUAGCAUGCCAACAAAAAACAGAGAACAAGCUUCUAAGAUUUGAAAAGAAAAAUGAAAACUCAGCGGGACAAAUACGAACAUAAAAUUAAUAUAAAGGGAAAACCUAGGUUCAGAACCUUGCUCGAAUUUCAGUAAAAGUAAAAACUAACUUAAGAAAGGGAUUUAAAAAGAAGAGGAAUAAGAAGUGAAUCAAACAAAAACGGAUAGUAAAAGAAGCAGAAAACUUACCAAGUCAGAAAAUCAGAACCUACUGGAAACAAGUGACUUAACAAAACUAACUUCGAUCAUUUGUUCUUUGUCAUGAACAACUGAACGACAUCAGUUUAUCUUGAAUAAAAACUUCAAAGCUCAAAAGAAACAACACCCUAUGACCAUGCAUGCCACCGAGCUCGAUGGAAAAUGAUCCUAGACUUUUAGGGUUCGAACCCAGAUGUAAGAUUGGAGAAGUUCUGGGCAUAUUCGAGGGAAAGUAAUUAGGGAUUUGGCAUGAGGAGGUGAAGGGGGUUCUGUGGUGUGGAUUUGGGGUAGUUUGGUAGUGGCGUUGUCGGCUUGCGGCAGUGGAAAAUUAGGGCGGUGCUAAGGUUUUGAGAUGAGGAAGACGAAGUGAGAUAGGGUAUUUGAGAACUGACAUGGUCUCUAAAGAUUUCAGAUAUUCUUAUGUGUUUGAGGAAGGGCCUUAAUCGCCGUUCCAUGGAAGGAAAUGGAAGGCUCAAAUUGAGCUGGAGCUGGGAACGUCAAACGACGUUAUUUGGAUUACUGAUGGGGCAGACCAGGUGAAGGAACG
rnacentral:lncRNA from 1 species